rnacentral:rRNA from 1 species
AUUGAACGCUGGCGGCAUGCCUUACACAUGCAAGUCGAACGGUAACAGGUCUUCGGAUGCUGACGAGUGGCGAACGGGUAAGUAAUACAUCGGAACGUGCCUAGUAGUGGGGGAUAACUACUCGAAAGAGUGGCUAAUACCGCAUGAGAUCUACGGAUGAAAGCAGGGGAUCGCAAGACCUUGUGCUACUAGAGCGGGCGAUUGCAGAUUAGGUAGUUGGUGGGAUAAAAGCUUACCAAGCCGACGAUCUGUAGCUGGUCUGAGAGGACGAUCAGCCACACCGGGACUGAGAAACGGCCCAGACUCCUACGGGAGGCAGCAGUGGGGAAUUUUGGACAAUGGGCGCAAGCCUGAUCCAGCAAUGCCGCGUGCAGGAUGAAGGCCUUCGGGUUGUAAACUGCUUUUGUACGGAACGAAAAGCCCCGGGUUAAUACCCUGGGGUCAUGACGGUACCGUAAGAAUAAGCACCGGCUAACUACGUGCCAGCCGCCGCCGUAA